AACGAGCGCAACCCUUAUCCUUUGUUGCCAGCGAUUAGGUCGGGAACUCAAAGGAGACUGCCAGUGAUAAACUGGAGGAAGGUGGGGAUGACGUCAAGUCAUCAUGGCCCUUACGACCAGGGCUACACACGUGCUACAAUGGCGCAUACAAAGAGAAGCGACCUCGCGAGAGCAAGCGGACCUCAUAAAGUGCGUCGUAGUCCGGAUUGGAGUCUGCAACUCGACUCCAUGAAGUCGGAAUCGCUAGUAAUCGUGGAUCAGAAUGCCACGGUGAAUACGUUCCCGGGCCUUGUACACACCGCCCGUCACACCAUGGGAGUGGGUUGCAAAAGAAGUAGGUAGCUUAACCUUCGGGAGGGCGCUUACCACUUUGUGAUUCAUGACUGGGGUGAAGUCGUAACAAGGUAACCGUAGGGGAACCUGCGGUUGGAUCACCUCCUUACCUUAAAGAA
rnacentral:rRNA from 1 species